rnacentral:rRNA from 1 species
UGAGGAAUCUUGGACAAUGGGGGCAACCCUGAUCCAGCCAUGCCGCGUGAGUGAAGAAGGCCUUCGGGUUGUAAAGCUCUUUUACCCGUGAAGAUUAUGACGGUAGCGGGAGAAAAAGCCCCGGCUAACUCCGUGCCAGCAGCCGCGGUAAGACGGAGGGGGCAAGCGUUGCUCGGAAUUACUGGGCGUAAAGCGUGCGUAGGCGGCUAAGCAAGUCAGAAGUGAAAGCCCAGGGCUCAACCCUGGAAUUGCUUUUGAAACUGCUUGGCUAGAGUUCGGGAGAGGUGAGCGGAAUUCCCAGUGUAGAGGUGAUAUUCGUAGAUAUUGGGAAGAACACCAGUGGCGUAGGCGGCUCACUGGACCGACACUGACGCUGAGGCACGAAAGCGUGGGUAGCAAACA